rnacentral:piRNA from 1 species
UGAGCAUGUAGCCACACUGUGAGCAUCU